rnacentral:rRNA from 1 species
GACGAACCGUGCGAACGUUAUUCGGAAUCAUUGGGCUUAAAGGGCGCGUAGGCGGUCAGCACAAGUCAGUUGUGAAAUCUCCGGGCCUAACUCGGAAAGGUCAACUGAUACUGUGCGACUAGAGUGCAGAAGGGGCAACUGGAAUUCUCGGUGUAGCGGUGAAAUGCGUAGAUAUCGAGAGGAACACCUGCGGCGAAGGCGGGUUGCUGGGCUGACACUGACGCUGAUGCGCGAAAGCCAGGGGAGCGAACGGG